GCUUACGACCACACCGGCCUGAGUACGCCUGAUUCUGUCUGAUCUCGGAAGCUAAGCAGGGUCGGGCCUGGUUAGUACUUGGAGGGGAGACUGCCUGGGAAUACCAGGUGCUGUAAGCU
rnacentral:rRNA from 1 species